GAGGCUUUUCUGAUGAGGAUAUAGAGCAUACACGCUGAAGACUGGCUACUACGCAUGGAAGAUCCAGGAAGUGAUGCCGAUUCAGAAACAUAAUUGGAGGAUGGUUUUUGUGCACCCCAAGCUGGGGGUUUGCAUUUUCUUUUCCUUUUUUGGUGGACAAUACAAACUACGCGCUGAUCAAUGUAUAUUAGACGAUUCAGGUAUAAACAUGUUAGUAGACAUAUAAACUGUGGACCCAUGUCCCAAAAUUCAGAAACAGUUGCCAUCAGGAAAUACACAUUACCGCAGAAUUUGACGAAGGAAUGUUGGUUCUUUUGUCCGUGAGUAUUUUCAUGCAUAUGAUGAACUGGUC
rnacentral:lncRNA from 1 species